ACUCUACCCUGAUGGGAGCCUAAACCCACUAGUGCUCUUUGGACCUGAGCUGCUUGGCAGCAGAAGGGGAUGAGCAGGGAACAAAGUAGCCCAAAUGCAAGAUGCUCAGAUGUAUGCAGAGAGUGCAACAUGACAAAGUGCUAGGUUUGGUUAAAUUGGGACUGUUAAUUAUAGCAGUUUAAAUUGGGUUCUGACUCAGAUUUUGAAUUUGUAGUGGCAAGAUGACAGCCUGGAGAAGGUGGUUGUAAAUGGCUGACUCAGAGGAUGAUGAUCAGCACGACAGUGCCUUCUGCCUGUGCUAGUACUAUGUGUUUAUGGGAGAGAUGUUAUAAGGUGACAGCCACCAGUUCAGCUCCACCCCGUGAUCUGUUCACCAUGCAUUAUGGAGACUGGAAAGACCAAGAGAGCAAAUGGAGGAAGAAGCAUAUUAAUUGGUCUGUAAAGGGAACUUAAGAGUGUGUCCAUCAAGGAGGAGUUACCUGUGUUCAUAACCAGGAAGACUGGGAGCUGAGAGGUUUCCCUCACUCAGUGCAGAGGUAAGGCUUUCCUUGGCAUUCUACAAGCUUCCCUUCAACCUGAAGAUCAUUUCAGAAUUUGGAUAGUAACUAGCAAACACCCACUGCUCAUAAGACAUUUUUUUCCGUGGAGAGAGCAUGAUGUGAAGCAUGGGUCACCUACUGUACCUUCAGGAAUCACAGAUCCUGCCCCAGGGGAUAGAUGAGGUUGCCAAGAUGCAAACCAGAGAUGGCUGCAGAAUGAAGCGUAGCUAACUUCAGCGGCAUGAUCUUUUAAUCCUGAUCAGGCAGCAGUUCAGUGAAAACUCCUCUUGUUUUGAUGUGAAGAGCACAGACCCUAUUUCCCACAAAUUGCUGAUGAUUUUCUUUAAAAGGAAAGAUAUCACCUGGAGAAAUGCAGCCAGUCAAGGAAGGAAAAUGCGAAGUCAUCUGAUGCUUUGUCUCUCCUGAUUGCAAUCAUAUUUUAUUCUAAAGUAAAGAGAAACUGUUUUGGCAUGAAACUAGGAAGCAGUGGAUGUUCAACAUGUAGCUACUGUGGAUAUGGGACUCCAGGACGAUUUUCAAGGUCGCCUCAACACACAGAUGUGCUCGCACUGGAGAUAGUUUCAGCAGGCACACCUAAAGCUGGCUGGAGCUACGGGAAUUGGUUGGCUCUCCCUCCAUCUAUCCAGCCGGCCCGCGGAAGGCGCAAUGGGGGCACUGCGGAACAACUUUCCUUGCGUCUUCUACGAGUCAGACCGUGAGGUUGGCAGAGUUCUCCUGUGACCCUUGGCCUCUAAACACGCGUGACCCUGCCUGUGCUACAGCUCCCAGGCACAGCCGGCCCCGGGAUAGGGAGCAGCCCGGGAUAAGGAGCGGCCCCGGGAGCGGCCCCGGCCGGAGGCUGGGCCCGCGCACGGCGCCGCCCGGUGGCAGCAGCGCCGCAUUGCAGGGGCAGCGCACGGAGCCCGCCCUGGGGCUGCGGCGCGGCUUGAGCGACAGCCGUCCCUAAUUAUGUUAAUUGCACAGCUUCUUCUUCUUUUUUUUUCUUUUCUUUUUUUUUUUUUUCCUCUCCAGAAGCCCUUAGGCUUUUGUUUGCAGGGAAUAAAUAAAGAGGGAUUAGUUACGUUUAUCUGUGUUUUCCUAAGUCUUUACGGAAUAACUGUUACGUGUAAUUAAGUAAUUUGUCUGUCCUUGACCAAGCUGAUAGCAAAUUACCAGACAUUACUGAUGAGGUUCCAUUACAUUUUAGAAAUAGAUUACAUGGAUCUGGGAUUUAUUGAUUUUAUUUCUUAUUUUAGACAGGAUCAGCUGGAAAUAAUGGUCUUAGGAAGGUGAAAAUGCAAUGUGCUUUGACAAGUUGCCUUUAUCUAGCAGUAUUGUUUAGCUAUAUAUGGAUGUGGGACUCCAAAACCAUUUUUAACAUUGCCCCAACACAGAGAUAUUCUCCCUCGAGAGACAGUUUCAGCAGGCACACCUGGAGCUAAGGGAACUGAUUGAAUCCUUCCCUCCACCCACCCAUCCAUCCAGCUGAGGAGCUGUUGUCUUCUCCACAAAGGAUCUGCACUGAACCAGCUGCACCACAAGUUUUCCAUUCACAGCUUUCCCCUGCCCAGUGUCAAACAUGCUGAUUGGAUAUAUUCAGGCAACUUUUGUUAAGAGCAAUAUCAUCCUGUAUCUGUCCUUUGUGAUCCUGCUAACUGAUAUUUAAAUAAUUCACACUCUUCAAGGAUCCAGCUUAGCUGCUUCCCCUAUACUUUCUGCAUCUCAAAUCACUAAUCCAUAUACCCUUUUCUUAAAAUCUGCUUCCUGUGAGGUUUCCCAUAUAAUUGUCAACCCAGAUUGAUGAGUUUCUCUUCAGGAACCACGAAGCAUUGAUGUGCAGAGAGAAUGUCAAAACGUCGUGUUUAAAAUUAGAUUCUCUUGUUCAAGAUACAGAUACCAUUUCAUUCACAUGCUUUGAAGGCACUUUAUUGAGCCUGCCAAAUCCUUACAGACUCACAAGGAAUAUGUUCUCCUGAAAACUGAGACUGGAUACUUCACCUUAAAAUUUACUAAUCUUACUACAUCCUUGUUCUUUAGGUAUAUAUUAAUUUACUAUAAUCACACAAACAUACUUCUUACUAAACAUAUGCACCACUCUGCCAACAGAAGGCUUGGAAGUACGUCCACACCUCCUGACAAAUUGCAAAAGCAAAAAAAUCUCCCAAGGAGAUACUGCACUGGCGCAUUUGCCAAAAGGCCUGUCCAGAACUGAUUGCAGCCCACCAUGGGGCUCUGGAAAAUGUGGCAUCAAGGCUAGGUCUUCAAAACUGAAAGGCAGCAACUAAUCAUAAUUAAAGGGUGUGGAUGUUCUUUCAUCCCCCGGGAGCUAGCUCUUGGGGUAAAAUAAGAAACUCUUUCACUAAACCCCAUUGUGUGGCUUUGUCUUCCAAACACACUGGGGAAAAGAAGGGGAGGAGAUUCAAUAAGCGCAUCCAGGAGAAACUUGGAUUACAGCCAAGAGUCGUGAUCUGGACAGUGCCAAGACUGUGAGCAGCACAGAGAGGAGGGGUCGCUUCCAAAAGACUUUUUGCAGAGAUUUUAUCCCUGCCAAACCCUCCUCCCAAGGCUAUAAGUAAGCCAUGAUGGUUAUGCCUUUUUUUAGUGCAUGCAAAACCUCUGCUACCAGAAAUUAGAAUGCCAUUGUGAUGCUUCAGUUUCUUGAGGAGAUGUCAGCUGUUUCCUCAGAGAAGUAAGCAGCACCCAAGGGCAGGUGACAAUGCACAGGAAACAUUUUAGGGGAUUUUGGUCAUGGGCCAGCCCAUGCCUAUGGAUACAUGGGCUAAACUGGUCUAGUUUACUGGGGCAUGGGAUUUCAGGCCUUGUUUCUCUGACAGCCUGACCUGGCACACAGGCAGCAGGAUAUGCUCCAGGGAAAGCAACUAUUUUCAACAAGAGAAAUGUGAGAAGGUGAGAGUCCCCCAGCCAGUCUGAAGCACUGGCUACCCACUGCUGUGGGUGAGGUUUACCACGGGGGGAUCAGCAGACUCCAGCUGCUCACUGGCAUGCCUAAAGGACAGUCCCUCUCCCUACUCCUCUCCUCCUCUCUGCCCUGCUUCUCUCAAAUCAGCUCUUGCUCUCAGUCUGCCCUGCGUGAACUGAUUCAGCUCAUUAAAAUGGCUGAAAGACAAUUAACUGUAGCAGGGAGGGGAAAAGGGCAGGACACACUCCUCAGGGACAGGGAGAGGCAGUCCCAGAGACAUUUCUCCAGGCUGGGAGUGGCUAGUCUUUACCAAUCCUCCCUUUCAAAUAGGCCAAGGAGGGAUAACUAAUCACAGUUCUUGCACAGGUCGCCUUCCAUGAGAUUACGUGCCCCGUUCCCCUACCUGCAUCCAGGCUGGCAGCUCGAAGCCACCAGGGAACUUCACGUGCCCCUCAAACGCUCCACACACCACAUUCAUCAUGAAGGCACCUCUUCUCCUCUCCUCUCCUCCACCUCCCACAUACAGCAUCGCCAGUCCAUGGAUCUUGCCAGAAGUCCACCACUGGCAGCUGUAGUUGUGCCGCCUUAGCCCGAGCAGAAACGUCCAAGUUUUGUUCUCACUGAUAAAUGUGUGAGGGUUUCAUAAUGCCCCUGAGGAAGGAUGAUAAUUAUUUUGCUUAUUUUAGGAGUUUUUAUAGCUGACCUCUCUGUUGUCAGAACUACAAGUCCCACAGAUCAGCAUGUAAGUUACAUUGUCUUUUGUCAUCAAGAGUAGCACAAACUUCUCUCAGUUUCUUUCUUCUCCUCCGUGGGGAGAAACCAAACUUGUUUUUUUCAAUAGCUCAGUCGUUGUUCCUUUGUUCUGUUUGUAUAAAGCAAAAUGCAAAGAAUCCUGAGGAAGCAACCAAUUUUUGUAUUCCUAUUACAAAGAACAAGUAUGUCAGAAAUCUUUUGGUUUUUUUCCCUUGGAACCUGUCUUUUUAUGUAAGCACUUCUUGAAACAUAACAAGUAAGUCCUUCCUUCAUUUCCCUUUCCACUUGGAAUGGGUGGAGAAUUACACAACAGAGAAGGACAGUUCAUUUUCCUAAAUGUUUUUUCUAACAAGCAACAGGAUGGCAACUUAGAGCUGGCACCAUCUCUUCAGGUCUUAGCGUCUUGGCCAGGUCACUGUGGCGAAAAAAAGCCCAAAGUGUCUGGAUUCCUUUUCUGAAUGGCUGCUCCUGCUGUUCUGCAGCUACUGCCCCUCGCUUCACUGGCAAGCGCCGAUGUCCCAUGGGCUGCUCCCCUGCUCCUGCCCUGCCUGCCAGGGUUCCCUGCCCAGCAGUGCCACCCUCAGAGCCGUGCCUGGGGUGUCACUGGCUGUGGCUCAGCCUGGCCAGCAUCACCCUUCACCUGACUCCAGCUUGCUCCCUUCACACGGGGCAAAGAUCGCUGGGGCACAGCUCUGAGUGCGCCUCGGCACUGAUGGAGCUCACACUGUUCAGAAGCACUCCAAAGCCCCUCACUGUGCGUCUCAUUCUUGUCACACAGACCCUCUUCCCUUGGCUGCCUCGCAGAGCACAGUGGUCAGGCUUUAGUUAGUCCCAUGUCCCCAUGCUGUGUCUGGAAAGAUGCUGUGGAGCAGCUCUUUCUCUCCAGACACCUAACCUGGGUCUCUUUACCUCAUUAUCUGUGAAAUAGAGGCCAUCUAUAACAGAUUUUUUUUCUUACAUCUGAUUGCUGACUGCGUGAAAAUUCUUGCUGUAAUACCUUCUCCCCAUUCAACUUUUAGCAGAUUAGGACACAAUUCUACUUUGUAAUACAUCAGAGAUGUAUCAUCAUUCCUUCUGAAAUCUUGGAGUGAUUGAGGAUAGCUUUUAAUUUGGGGUGCUGUAGAAAGCAUUGGCUCUCUCCUGGUUUUGAGCUUUCAGCUGGUGCAGGGGACCAGGAACAAAAAAAAAAAGGACAAACACUGAGUUAUGUGCUUGCUGAGUGAAACUCUCUCUAUUUAAAAACAGUUUCAUCUUAGGAAAUGUUUUUUCUUGACAGAGAUUCUUUACUCUAACACUUGUAAUGAGUAUUUAUUACAACAGUUGCAUUUGUCAGUCCCUUGUAUGCUCUGGGCUUUCUGGAGAUUUAAUGUAGCUAAAUGAGACAAUGGACUGGAUUUCUGGUGAAAUAUCAGAUACUUGUCCUCUCUUUAAAAACCAAAGCAACUAUUUCAUAUAGUUUUUCAGCUUUUCUUACAUGGCAGCACCCAUUCUGUUUCACAUAGUGCCAACAAGACACUUUAAAAUUUCCUGGACCUUCUACCUUGGCAGCUCAGCAAGAACAGCUCUCUCUGAAACCUCCCUAAUCAAUUGACUUUGCCAAGCCUUUUGCUUAACAAAUCCUGCAAUUGCUUCCAGCUUUUUCCCACAAGUGAUACCAAAUUAAUGGAUUUGCAGUCUCUUGGUGAGUCUCUUGGCCUUUUCUUGUCUGAUUAGGCACACUCUGGCCUGCUGGGAGAAAUGUACUGCAUUGAUAAAGAUGCUGGAAGAGGUUCAUUUCAUGUCCCACUUUUCUUUUGCAUUCUUUGUACUCAUACAAGUCAAAAUGUUACAUUGACAAGAUUAAAAAACUCGAAGGCCCUCAAUAUGGGCACAUCUCACAUCAUGACUAAUCCAGUGUCUUAGGUAUCCUAGGCAGUCAUGCAUGCUAUUCCAAAUCUGUCUUGCAUUUAAGAACUUGGCCCAAAUUCACGAGUGUAUUCUUAAAAGUAUAUUUGGGGCUUAACUGUACAUGCAAAUAAAAUGUUCAUAUAAGUAACCUAAGGCCCCAGCAAAUCUAACUUUAUGCCUCUGUCAAACAAUCCAAACCAAAGCAGUAUAUGAAAUUACUACAUUUUUAAGCAUGGAUAUUUUGAGCAUACAACUGCUUUCCGAAUGCUAUUUUCUCUGUCAUAUGUUUAGAAUCACUGUCCUUAAACAACAGACUUGUCUUAGAAAGAAAAACAACAAACAGGAUUUUGUUAUUUUUCUAAACAGUUUCAGUUCUAUUUCUGCCUUGUACCAGAUAUUGUUUCAUUUCCAGAUAAUCCAGUAAAUCUCAGAAGCAGCUAACUCUUGCACCCCACUACAUAUGAAAAUGCUCACACUUCACUUUCCUCACUCUUCGUUUGGCCGCCAGUCAUGCUGCACAUAUGACAGGAUUCAGGUCUUCUUUCACAGAAUCUGUGUUCAGACUGCUAAUAAUUUCCAGUUCUGCCCCCUAGAACUAGCAGAUUCCUCUGGCCCUAGGCUUCCCUUGAGGACAGAUACUGAUUGUUGGGCUGGAGAGGUGCUCUAGGACUUGAGGAUCAUGAACCUACCUUCUGCAGCAUCCAUGGAUAGGAAUCCCACCACCAAGCCUUUGCACACCCCGGGCAGGAAAGCUCUGCACAGCUUCUACUGGCACUGAGCCAUUUCACAGUCAGGAACAUAGCCACAACCCAGUGAGACAGAAGGGCAGGCAGAAAAUCCUUUGGUCAGCCUAAUUACUGAGUUACAGCCUGGGAGGGGAGAGAUACAAAGCCCCUGGAUUGUUUCUGUUUAAUUUCUUUCUGACAAUAAUCUAACAUGUACACAGGAACACAGAAUCAGCACUUUAGUUCUGGUUCUUGGUAUCAUGUCAUCUGCUCAAGAGAGUCUUGGAUAGGAUGGGAGCUAUAAAUCGUGGCAUAUGUUUGGGUUUGUAUGCUAAUCAUACAUUCAGAGAUUAUAAAUUCCAAUUUUAACAGUCCUAUUUACCAGCAUUUUUCUGUCAUCAAACUACUUCUUUCCCCCUGAAUUUUUGCACUGGAAUUAACAGGGACUUGAAACAUUCUCAGUUCAGAGAGUUGUAGGCAGAGUAUUUGAGGUAAAUCCCCCUAUUCGGUCAAGAGCUCCUCUGAACCUGAUCACCAUUCUUGGUUUCUGGGGUUUGGUAACACUGCUAUAUCUCAGCAGCUCUUGAUAUUGCUAUACAAUUUUCCUUGGGUUUCUUGGGGGAUUUAGUGGGGUUUUUUAUUGUUUUUGUUUGUUUGGGGUUUUUUUAUUAUUAUUUUGUUAUUUUGGGGUUUUUUGUUUGUUUUUCUUUCAAAAAGGCUUAUUUCUCCUGUUCUUACCCCAGCAGUUAGUACUAGAUCAAUGCACCUUCCUUACAUUCCUUUUUUUUACCUGAAGUUGAAGGUAACUUUUGCUGAACUGACAAUCCAGGGGAUUCUCAACAUUUUAUCUAAUAGUGAGCAGUAGGAUAAAUGUCACUCAAUCUCUUGGAAGAUAUCCUCAAACACUUCUCACUAGUUUUGAUCCCCAGCCACUCCAGUAAUGGUGUUCCUUGAAAGGGACUCAACACUUGAUACAUAUUACCUCCCACUAUUAACAUCAAUACAUUUCUCACAUUUUAUAACUUACUCUUACACCCAUCUUUAAUAAACCCUCAGUGGGAAUAAAAUUUAUCCUUUUUCUGAGAGUACAUCUGAAAAUUCCUCUUUGUCCCAGUAACACUGUGUGUAAUACCUGUGUCCUUGUUCCCAGCAGGCUGUCUAGGACAUUCUUGGUACAGCUCUUGGUUUCAGGUCAAUCCAUUUAGCAUCUCCUCAAACACUAUUAAGAAGAACACCUCUGAGCAAACAGGACCUGGCACAUUCUCUGUUGACAUCAUUUAUAUUCAUACUUUAUCAGUGACAGUGUUCAGAAAUCACAGUCACAUCCAGAAAAGUGUCUGGCACCACUAAAGAGCAGCAUCAACCCAGGCAAGUCCUAUGGCAUUGGGACUUAACAGGAAUGCAACCAGGGCAAGAGAUGUCACUCAGUCCCUCUAGCGAUGUGCAUGUCUCCAUCCUGUUGUAUUUCACCAUGCAGGAUACCAGGGUUUGCUUCUGGCACCAGGGCAAAAGCAAUGAGGGUCACCGGAAACAACUUCUCCUCCCUUACAUGUGUGAAGGAGAAAAUAAAGAGUAGAGCAAAAAGGAAUCCCACUGAAGGCAUCCAAAUGCUCAUGACUUCUGAUUCAUGACUUCUGAUACCUGCAUGUUCUGGCAAGACAAGAAAGCCAUUGCAGCUCCUGGAUGUUUGUUUUCAGUCUCUGGGUCUUAGUCAUGCCCCAUACUUUUUCCAUACUUCGGGAGUUCCAUGAUGUGUUUUUGUGGCCUUUGGGUUUGGGACUUGCUUUUUUCUUUUAUGAUAAGAUAUUUCAGAUAAUCUAUAAGUCAACUAUUGGAGUAUUAACUUUUGCCCUAAGCCUCAAUGUGAGCUAGGCAGCUAUGCUUUGUGCAAGAAAUUUUUGUUUUGUUGUCAAGGGUUAAUUAUCUUCACAGUUGUACUUCUUCCCACUCUUACUGUCUUGGAAUUUAAGGGUUUGGGGCAAAUUUCUUUGUUACAGAUAACAAGCUGCUAUUUUAUCUUCCCUGAAAUUGCAAGAUUGACUGGGAAACCUUAGAUCAAUCACAGACUAUGUUAGGCCUUCACCUUCUCUGUACAGUAUCAGUUAAAAACAUACUGCUCAUUUCAAGGGCAGUGCAACACUUUUCAAAUAUUUGUAGCAGUUUCACAGAUAACUUUCUCUGUCUGAGUGGAUAGGAAAUGAUUAAAAACAUCUUCAGGAUCAGCUAUUG